UACCAGCUCCUCGAGUGGUCAGGACGAUUAUUGGGCCUAAAGCACCCGUAGCCGGUUCCAUAAGUCCUCUGUUAAAUCCAACCGCCUAACGGUUGAGCUGCAGAGGAUACUGCGGGACUAGGAGGCGGGAGAGGCGGACGGUACUCCGUGGGUAGGGGUAAAAUCCUUUGAUCCGCGGAAGACCACCAGUGGCGAAGGCGGUCCGCCAGAACGCGCUCGACGGUGAGGGGUGAAAGCUGGGGGAG
rnacentral:rRNA from 1 species